GAUGAUUUGGUUUAGCUGUGACUGGGGAGUGGGGCAAAGUACCAGAGAAGUCUUUUCAGGGCUGGUUGACAUCCCCCUGAAAGUGAGCCUCCCAUAGGACAUGCGGGCAUGGGAUAGUUCGGGGCCUCGUGUGAUGGAGGGGUCAGAGAACACUGGGUGGCUCCCCCAACUAUGUAGUUUAGCCUGGAUCUUUGCAUGGUUGACCAGGAAUCUCAACGGUAACCUUGGUAGCUGCCCCCCUCCUCAGCCCUGUGCAACCUAAUCUGCGGGCGGCUUUAAUCCAUCAAGAAGGGGUGUCCUCACUGAGUCUCUUGCCUGCCUGACACAUAGUAGGAAAUCAACAAAUGUUAGGUCCCGCUCCUGCCUCCUUCCUUUCCCUGGAUGCUUGCAGACUGUGCCCAAUACCUACCCUUGGGGCCACUGUCCGUACAAGACCUUGACAGAAAGUGGGCAGGCAGGCCUGGGCUGGGCCAGGUGGACCCUGAGUCUAGAAAGGGUCAGGCAAAGGCUAUAGGGACCAGUAGGCUGUCGGCCGGGUGGAGAGAGGGGGCUGUUACUGAUUCUCUGCCAUGAAAAAGCCCCAUUGUGGGGUCUUUGGGGGAGAAUAUAUUUAUUUUGUUUCCUGAGCUGUGUGAACAGUGCACUGUGCUGCCUGGGUUGAGAGGGCUCUGUGUGGCUAGGGAGGGAUUACAUCCCCCUCUUGGGUGGUGUGUUAUGAAAAGGCCUCAUUCAGCCAGGCCCGGCUGCCCACCGGCAGCCCAGGCUCCUGCGCUGUCCCUGGGGGCAGCCUGGUGUCCCUCCCUCUCUCCCUGAGGUGCAGGCUUGGGGCUGCGUGUGGACGUGAGUGUGACAGGCAGCCAGUAUAGGCCCAGUCCCUGAGGGGCUGCGGCUCACCUUCAGGUAGAGUCUGUCAACUGCACACCUCAGGAUGGAGCUGGCUGAGGGACUGGGGCUCAGACACAAGAGGCGUUUGGUCCGUGUCUCGACCUCAAAUGUUACUUACCUUUGAGGGAGGUUUCACAUCCAGUCAGAGAUUUGCUGAAGGAGACCUUCACCAUACAACUUUAAAUCCAUGUUCAUUGCUGGGCCACGUUGCCAAGGGGGCCUCUGAAUGUUUGUAUAAUUUCUAUGACUAUUUUGUGAAUAGCACGAUUAUGUUGCAUUAUGUUUGGGGUGUGUGUGUGUGUGUGUGUGUAAAGAGUGUUAAUUUGUUCACAGGAAAUGUUUUUAACACAACUCAAUUUUUGUAACCCUGUUUGGCAUUUCUUUAUUUUUCAAUACCCUGGGAGCCUCAGUCCCUGGAAGUGGAUGUGGAUAGUCUGAACCUCUGAGGGCCCUUGGCAAAGACAGCGUGCAUCCCGAGCACGUCUGGACAUGAGGGGUGAGCUCCAGCUCUGUCUGUGCCUCACUGAGUGACCUUGGAAAGUCACUGAGCCUUGGUCUUCCCAUCUGCACAAGGGGGAAUUGCAUUGGUUGGUCGCUGAGGGCCCUUGAAGCUCCAAUUUCCUGUUAUGGCCCAUUGUGUCAUUGGAGAGGCUCCCCUCCCAGAGGAGUAAGAGGGCCAUUUGCUCUCCAGCAAGACUUCCUGAUGGAGAGGCAUCUUGGUGUGCCAGGUGGCCCUGCACGUGCUCUUGGCCUUGGACUUGUACUCAAGGGUGAAAAGAAGGACGUGUCCCUGUAACCAGUUUCUGGUGAGACAUCUGCACGCGGCUUUGCAGUUUCAGGAUGUCCCUACAUCCGUCAGCCCAUCAACAGAGAAUCUAGGAACAUCAGCACAGAGUCCCAGUCACAGUGUAAAAUGUAAGCUGACAGCUUGGAAAGCAUCCAGAGGCGAGUGGCCAGGAGGGUGAAGGGUCUGGAAAUGACCGAAAAUGAGGAGUGGUUAAAAGAACUAGGGGUAUUAUCCAGAAGAGAAGAUGACAUGGUAGCUGCUGCGAAUGGUGUAGUCCAAGCUAACUUGGACUAAAGUUGAUACUUUCUUCUCUGCACGGGCUUCCUGAGGACAAACCUGUGACUGGUGGAUGGAAGUUACGGGGAGGCUGAUUUCAGCUCAUUCUAAGAACUUCAGAAGAUUUUUUUCAACCGAGUUAUAAGAAUAUAGAGUUGACUGCCCUGGGAAACAGGCAGUGGGUGACAAUUGCCAAGGAUGGAGGAAAGACCAGGUGACUUCGGAGGUCUCUUUCAGUGUGGAGAUUCCAGGAUUCUAAAGAAUUUAGAACUGGAGUAAAGAGAAAGCUCUUUGCUUUGUCAGUUUAGAAACC